rnacentral:rRNA from 1 species
AAUGAACGCUGGCGGCAGGCCUAACACAUGCAAGUCGAGCGAGGUAGCAAUACCUAGCGGCGGACGGGUGAGUAACGCGUGGGAACGUACCCUUUGCUUCGGAAUAGCCCCUGGAAACGGGGAGUAAUACCGGAUGAGCCCUACGGGGGAAAGAUUUAUCGGCAAAGGAUCGGCCCGCGUUGGAUUAGGUAGUUGGUGGGGUAAAGGCCUACCAAGGCGACGAUCCAUAGCUGGUCUGAGAGGAUGAUCAGCCACACUGGGACUGAGACACGGCCCAGACUCCUACGGGAGGCAGCAGUGGGGAAUAUUGGACAAUGGGCGAAAGCCUGAUCCAGCAAUGCCGCGUGAGUGAUGAAGGCCUUAGGGUUGUAAAGCUCUUUUACCCGAGAUGAUAAUGACAGUAUCGGGAGAAUAAGCUCCGGCUAACUCCGUG